AGUGGCGGACGGGUGAGUAACGCGUGGGUAACCUGCCCUGUACAGGGGGAUAACAGUUAGAAACGACUGCUAACACCGCAUAAGCGCACGGUAAGGCAUCUUAGUGUGUGAAAAUAUUAAUAGGUACAGGAUGGGCCCGCGUCUGAUUAGCCAGUUGGCAGGGUAACGGCCUACCAAAGCGACGAUCAGUAGCCGGCUUGAGAGAGUGAACGGCCACAUUGGGACUGAGACACGGCCCAAACUCCUACGGGAGGCAGCAG
rnacentral:rRNA from 1 species